rnacentral:rRNA from 1 species
UACAGAGGGUGCAAGCGUUAAUCGGAUUUACUGGGUUUAAAGGGUGCGUAGGUGGGCAGGUAAGUCCGUGGUGAAAUCUCUGAGCUUAACUCAGAAACUGCCGUGGAUACUAUUUGUCUUGAAUAUUGUGGAGGUGAGCGGAAUAUGUCAUGUAGCGGUGAAAUGCUUAGAUAUGACAUAGAACACCAAUUGCGAAGGCAGCUCACUACACAAUUAUUGACGCUGAGGCACGAAAGCGUGGGGAUCAAACAGG